GUUCUCUUACAGACAGUCUGACGUAGAUGCACAGAUUGGUGAGCACAUUGUGACUUGACCUGAAUGGAGCAUGGACCUUCACGCUCGGGUGCUUUGGAACCAUGGCCAGAUGCACAGCUCGGAUUGAUUUGCCUCAGAUUUCCCAUUUUUCUUCAGUUUGUUCAAUACACAGUCAUUGAACAUCCACUACUCUCAGUCAAGCACCGUACAAGGCCCCUUGAUAGCCUUUGGCCGUCUGCAGAAACAGUGCGCUUAUUAAUGGGAGAUCCUGACUCUGGUUCCACCAUUUCAGAUCUGAUGUCCUCCUAUGCUGCUGGCAAUUGGUGAAGAAUCAACGUGUUCCUCACCAAUCGAACAAAAACAAGUGAAAUGAGAAGCAUUGCCCCGACCCCUGCUCCCCGGUCGCUGCAUCCAGGAUCUGUAUGAGAGAGUGCUGGGAGAAGGAACCAUAAAGGCAGAGGUUCUCAAGCAUGGCUUCACAUUAGAAAUACCCGGGGAAGCCAAGCAACUGCCAACACCAAGUUCCACCCCAGACCAACUGAAUCAGACAGCCUGGCUCUGAAGCCAGGAUGCAGAACUGUUUAACUUCCCCAGGGCAUUUCACUGUGCAAACGGCAUGGAGAACCCCUGAGUUCCAGUAAUGAAG
rnacentral:lncRNA from 1 species